GGGGAGUACGGCCGCAAGGUUAAAACUCAAAGGAAUUGACGGGGACCCGCACAAGCGGUGGAUGAUGUGGAUUAAUUCGAUGCAACGCGAAAAACCUUACCUACGCUUGACAUGCCAGAAACCCCGCAGAGAUGUGGGGGUGCCCGAAAGGGAAUCUGGACACAGGUGCUGCAUGGCUGUCGUCAGCUCGUGUCGUGAGAUGUUGGGUUAAGUCCCGCAACGAGCGCAACCCUUGUCCUUAGUUGCUACGCAAGGGCACUCUAAGGAGACUGCCGGUGACAAACCGGAGGAAGGUGGGGAUGACGUCAAGUCCUCAUGGCCCUUAUGUGUAGGGCUUCACACGUCAUACAAUGGUCGGUACAGAGGGUCGCCAACCCGCGAGGGGGAGCCAAUCCCAGAAAGCCGAUCGUAGUCCGGAUUGCACUCUGCAACUCGAGUGCAUGAAGUCGGAAUCGCUAGUAAUCGCGGAUCAGCAUGUCGCGGUGAAUACGUUCCCGGGUCUUGUACACACCGCCCGUCACACCAUGGGAGUGGGUUUUACCAGAAGUGGUUAGCUUAACCGCAAGGAGGGCGAUUACCACGGUAGGGCUCAUGACUGGGGUGAAGUCGUAACAAGGUAACCGUA
rnacentral:rRNA from 1 species